rnacentral:rRNA from 1 species
ACGCUCGACACCUACGGGAGGCAGCAGUGGGGAAUAUUGCACAAUGGGGGAAACCCUGAUGCAGCGACGCCGCGUGAGCGAAGAAGUAUUUCGGUAUGUAAAGCUCUAUCAGCAGGGAAGGAAAUGACGGUACCUGACUAAGAAGCCCCGGCUAACUACGUGCCAUCAGCCGCGGUAAUCUGAGCGGGCUGGCAAGGC